UUAUUUUGGUUACUCUAAGGCCAUACUUUCUGUUCUUUCGAGUUUGUGUCCUUCAUUUUUUGAUUUGUAUGCUCUGUUUUUGCUGAUUUCUCCCUUUGAGUUUGGCUAGUUUGCUUUCUUAUUUUCUGUGUUUUGUGUCUUUCUCUACUUUGAUUUUGCGUUUUUCUUCUCAAGGGUUUUCUUUUCAUUUUUGACUACUAUCUAUCUUUUCCCAGUUUUGUUUUGUCCCCUUUUUUUUUCUUUUCGGCUUUCAUUGUUGUUUCUUAACUCCAUUAAAUAUAUAAAAAGAAAUUUGAUUACUCCCAUUUCAUAUAGGGUAUUUUUAAAAAAUAAUUUUUCCUUCAUUCCAUUAUUUAUUUGUAUAGUUGUGCUUUUGUGUUAUAGUGAUAGCCAUAUCUCUUAGUUGUGGUGGAUGAAUGAGCCAUUUGAUGUUUUUUUUUUCAUCUUUAAUCUGUUGAGAAUAAAUUCUUAUGAUUUUUCAUUGGUUGUUUAUUGAUGCGAUCAUGAACGUAAGAACGUUAAAUAUGAAUUACUGAACAAUUUAAAUAGAUGUUAAUUAUUUAUUUUAUUUAUACUUAUUAUAAGUAAUUCCAUUUGGAUCAAUCCCUUGAAGAUCUAUCUUUCUUAUGGAGAUAUUGAUUUGACAACUUUUGUGGCUUAAACUUUGAGGAGGCUCUAGUCAACGAUGUAUAUUCUGUCCUUCAAAGAGAGGAUCAUAACAAAGCUGCAGAGUUUGUGGUGAAGGAUGUACAAUUAAUUCAGGCAAAGCAUUUUUAAUUUGAUGUUCCAAAUGAUUUCUUGGUGAUGGGCAAAGACUGGCGAAGCAUUAAAGGAAAUAGUUUAGUGCGAAGUAAGAACACCCAAAAAGAAGUCCAAGUAAAGGUCAAAGCAGCUAGCAUAAAAGAAUCACAAACUAUUUAUCGGUGUGCUGCUAUCCUUAUUAGUCUCUUUAAUAUGACAACUAUGUAAUUAUUUCUAUAAAUAGUUUGUAAAAAAUUUAUUCAUAAGAGCACAUGAAAGCUACAAAAUUGAAUCUGAUAUGGAGUUGCUUGGUAUUUUUUAAUUAA